GACGAACCGUACGAACGUUAUUCGGAAUCACUGGGCUUAAAGGGUGCGUAGGCGGCGCGGAAAGUUGGGUGUGAAAGCCCUCGGCUCAACCGAGGAAUUGCGCCCAAUACUACCGUGCUCGAGUGAGAUAGAGGUGAGCGGAACUUAGGGUGGAGCGGUGAAAUGCGUUGAUAUCCUAAGGAACACCGGUGGCGAAAGCGGCUCACUGGAUCUUUUCUGACGCUGAGGCACGAAAGCUAGGGGAGCAAACGGG
rnacentral:rRNA from 1 species